rnacentral:rRNA from 1 species
UGGGGAAUAUUGCACAAUGGGCGCAAGCCUGAUGCAGCCAUGCCGCGUGUGUGAAGAAGGCCUUCGGGUUGUAAAGCACUUUCAGCGAGGAGGAAGGUGGUGAGCUUAAUACGCUCACUACAUUGACGUUACUCGCAGAAGAAGCACCGGCUAACUCCGUGCCAGCAGCCGCGGUAAUACGGAGGGUGCAAGCGUUAAUCGGAAUUACUGGGCGUAAAGCGCACGCAGGCGGUUUGUUAAGUCAGAUGUGAAAUCCCCGGGCUCAACCUGGGAACUGCAUUUGAAACUGGCAAGCUAGAGUCUCGUAGAGGGGGGUAGAAUUCCAGGUGUAGCGGUGAAAUGCGUUAGAGAUCUGGAGGAAUACCGGUGGCGAAGGCGGCCCCCUGGACGAAGACUGACGCUCAGGUGCGAAAGCGUGGGAGCAAACA